rnacentral:rRNA from 1 species
CUGGGCUCGAACGGCUGGUCAACGGCGGUGGAAACAUCGCUACCCCGCAAGGGGGUCCAGUCGAGGUGCUGCAUGGCUGUCGUCAGCUCGUGUCGUGAGAUGUUGGGUUAAGUCCCGCAACGAGCGCAACCCUUGUCCUGUGUUGCCAUCAUUUAGUUGGGAACUCGCAGGAGACCGCCAGGGAUAACCUGGAGGAAGGUGGGGAUGACGUCAAGUCCUCAUGGCCUUUAUGUCCAGGGCUACACACGUGCUACAAUGGACGGUACAAAGCGCAGCGAACUCGCGAGAGGGAGCCAAUCGCAAAAAACCGUUCUCAGUUCGGAUUGCAGGCUGCAACUCGCCUGCAUGAAGCUGGAAUCGCUAGUAAUGGCAGAUCAGCACGCUGCCGUGAAUACGUUCCCGGGCCUUGUACACACCGCCCGUCACAUCACGAAAGUGGAUUGUACUAGAAGUCUGCAGGCUGACCCGCAAGGGAGGCAGCGGCCCAAGGUAUGAUCCAUGAUUGGGGUG